rnacentral:ncRNA from 1 species
UCCCCAAGGCGUGGCGAUUUGAUACCGGAUUGCGGGCCACGUAAAACAUGCCGCUAAAAGGUUUGGGAUCUGUUCGC